rnacentral:rRNA from 1 species
UAAGUGCUGAAAGCAUCUAAGCAUGAAGCCCCCCUCGAGAUGAGAUUUCCCAUCACUUUAUGUGAGUAAGAUCCCUGAAAGAUGAUCAGGUAGAUAGGUCAGAGGUGGAAGUGUGGCGACACAUGGAGCUGACUGAUACUAAUCGAUCGAGGACUUAACCAAA